AUUGAACGCUGGCGGCAUGCCUUACACAUGCAAGUCGAACGGCAGCGGGGGAGAAGCUUGCUUUUCCUGCCGGCGAGUGGCGAACGGGUGAGUAAUACAUCGGAACGUGCCCUGUAGUGGGGGAUAACUAGUCGAAAGAUUAGCUAAUACCGCAUACGACCUGAGGGUGAAAGUGGGGGACCGCAAGGCCUCAUGCUAUAGGAGCGGCCGAUGUCUGAUUAGCUAGUUGGUGGGGUAAAGGCCUACCAAGGCGACGAUCAGUAGCUGGUCUGAGAGGACGAUCAGCCACACUGGGACUAAGACACGGCCCAGACUCCUACGGGAGGCAGCAGUGGGGAAUUGUUCGCAAUGGGCGCAAGCCUGACGACGCAACGCCGCGUGGAGGAUGAAGGUCUUCGGAUUGUAAACUCCUGUUGCCCGGGACGAAUGGCUUCGACCUAACACGUCGAAGUUUGACGGUACCGGGUGAGGAAGCCCCGGCUAACUCUGUGCCAGCCGCCGCGGUAAAAC
rnacentral:rRNA from 1 species